rnacentral:rRNA from 1 species
UAGUCCACGCUGUAAACGAUGAUCACUCGUUGUUGGCGAUACACAGUCAGCGACUGAACGAAAGUAUUAAGUGAUCCACCUGGGAAGUACGAUCGCAAGGUUGAAACUCAAGGGAAUUGACGGGGGCCCGCACAAGCGGUGGAGCAUGUGGUUUAAUUCGAUGAUACGCGAGGAACCUUACCUGGGCUUAAAUGUUUAAUGACCUCCCGAGAAAUCGGGAUUUCCUUCGGGACAUUUUACAAGGUGCUGCAUGGUUGUCGUCAGCUCGUGCCGUGAGGUGUCGGGUUAAGUCCCAUAACGAGCGCAACCCCUAUUCUUAGUUGCCAUCAUUAAGUUGGGCACUUUAAAGAGACUGCCGGUGACAAACCGGAGGAAGGUAAGGAUGACGUCAAGUCAGCAUGCCCCUUAUGCUCUGGGCUACACACGUGCAACAAUGGCCGUGACAAAGAGUUGCUACUUUGUGAAAACAAGCUAAUCUCAUAAACGCGGCCUCAGUUCGGAUUGCAGGCUGAAA